AGAGUGAACGCUGGCGGUAGGCCUAACACAUGCAAGUCGAACGGCAGCACAGUAGGAGCUUGCUCUUACGGGUGGCGAGUGGCGGACGGGUGAGGAAUACAUCGGAAUCUACCUUUUGGUGGGGGAUAACGUAGGGAAACUUACGCUAAUACCGCAUACGCCCUUCGGGGGAAAGCCGGGGACCAGCAAUGGCCUGGCGCUGAUAGAUGAGCCGAUGUCGGAUUAGCUAGUUGGUGAGGUAAUGGCUCACCAAGGCGACGAUCCGUAGCUGGUCUGAGAGGAUGAUCAGCCACACUGGAACUGAGACACGGUCCCAGACCUCCGUACGGGGAG
rnacentral:rRNA from 1 species